rnacentral:rRNA from 1 species
AGAGUUUGAUCCUGGCUCAGGAUGAACGCUGGCGGCGUGCUUAACACAUGCAAGUCGAGCGAAGCAGUUAAGAAGAUUCUUCGGAUGAAACUUGAUUGACUGAGCGGCGGACGGGUGAGUAACGCGUGGGUGACCUGCCCCAUACCGGGGGAUAACAGCUGGAAACGGCUGCUAAUACCGCAUAAGCGCACAGAGCUGCAUGGCUCAGUGUGAAAAACUCCGGUGGUAUGGGAUGGGCCCGCGUCUGAUUAGGCAGUUGGCGGGGUAACGGCCCACCAAACCGACGAUCAGUAGCCGGCCUGAGAGGGCGACCGGCCACAUUGGGACUGAGACACGGCCCAAACUCCUACGGGAGGCAGCAGUGGGGAAUAUUGCACAAUGGGGGAAACCCUGAUGCAGCGACGCCGCGUGAGCGAAGAAGUAUUUCGGUAUGUAAAGCUCUAUCAGCAGGGAAGAUAAUGACGGUACCUGACUAAGAAGCCCCGGCUAACUACGUGCCAGCAGCCGCGGUAAUACGUAGGGGGCAAGCGUUAUCCGGAUUUACUGGGUGUAAAGGGAGCGUAGACGGCAAGGCAAGUCUGAUGUGAAAACCCAGGGCUUAACCCUGGGACUGCAUUGGAAACUGUCUGGCUCGAGUGCCGGAGAGGUAAGCGGAAUUCCUAGUGUAGCGGUGAAAUGCGUAGAUAUUAGGAAGAACACCAGUGGCGAAGGCGGCUUACUGGACGGUAACUGACGUUGAGGCUCGAAAGCGUGGGGAGCAAACAGGAUUAGAUACCCUGGUAGUCCACGCCAUAAACGAU